GCAAUUUGAGUGUUUUUCCCUGGUGGAGAAAUACAAAGAGCUAUGAGAGCUGCUGUAUGUUUCUGAAAGACCAGAGAGAUUUUAGAUUUAUAUUGCUUCUUUAAUACGAGAAGAUCUCAGAGCUCUUCCCAAACUAAUCUUCACUGAAGUGUAGGAUCCUCUUGAAUAGAAGACAGCAAUUUGGAAAAUACCAUAGAACCAAGAGUGGAAGUUUAGGUUAGGAGAGGAGAAUGUUUUGAGGGAAAUUGAUGACUAGCAAGACACACAUCUAUAAGGCAGGAAAACUGACACAAUGGAUAUGGCGCCAGCCUAAGACAAAGGAUACUUCUGUUCAGUUCCCACAUCAGCCAUAGACUUCUUAUGUGGCUUUGGGCAAGUCAUUUAAUUCACCCUGUACCUCUGUAAUCAGUAAA